rnacentral:rRNA from 1 species
CUACGUAGGGGGCGAGCGUUGUCCGGAAUGAUUGGGCGUAAAGGGCGCGUAGGCGGCCCGGUAAGUCUGGAGUGAAAGUCCUGUUUUUAAGAUGGGAAUUGCUUUGGAUACUGUCGGGCUUGAGUGCAGGAGAGGUAAGUGGAAUUCCCAGUGUAGCGGUGAAAUGCGUAGAGAUUGGGAGGAACACCAGUGGCGAAGGCGACUUACUGGACUGUAACUGACGCUGAGGCGCGAAAGUGUGGGGAGCAAACAGGAUUAGAUACCCUGGUAGUCCACACUGUAAACGAUGAAUACUAGGUGUGCGGGGACUGACCCCCUGCGUGCCGGCGUUAACACAAUAAGUAUUCCACCUGGGGAGUACGAUCGCAAGGUUGAAACUCAAAUGAAUUGACGGGG